rnacentral:tRNA from 1 species
GCCCCCGUACUCCAACGGCAGAGAGGCGGCCCUUAAAAGGCCUUCAGUGUGGGUUCGAAUCCCAUCGGGGGCACCA